GCUUCUAAGCUCCUGCUCAGAGGACAUCAGCAGCUAACUUCCCUGCUCUCAGCCUUCAACUCUCCUUCUCUGAACCUUGUGAUCUUCCCAGGCCUGAGUUCCCUGAUAGAUCCUUGGAGCAGGUGCUGCUACCCCACGUGGACACCUUCCUACAAGUGCAUUUCAGCCCCAUCUGGAGGAGCUUUAACCAAAGCCUGCACAGCCUUACCCAGGCCAUAAGAAACCUGUCUCUUGAUGUGGAGGCCAACCGCCAGGCCAUCUCCGGAGUCCAGGACAGUGCCGUGGCCAGGGCUGACUUCCAGGAGCUUGGUGCCAAAUUUGAGGCCAAGGUCCAGGAGAACACUCAGAGAGUGG
rnacentral:sRNA from 1 species